UACGGCGGGGGCUAGCGUUGUUCGGAAUUACUGGGCGUAAAGCGUACGUAGGCGGCUUUUUAAGUUAGAGGGGAAAGCCCGGGGCUCAACUCCGGAAUUGCCUUUAAGACUGCAUCGCUUGAAUCAUGGAGAGGUUAGUGGAAUUCCGAGUGUAGAGGUGAAAUUCGUAGAUAUUCGGAAGAACACCAGUGGCGAAGGCGACUCGCUGGACAAGUAUUGACGCUGAGGUGCGAAAGCGUGGGGAGCAAACAGG
rnacentral:rRNA from 1 species